GUAUUACAUAUUAAUAGGUACAUUAUAAAAUAUUUAAAUAUAAAAUUAAAUCGUCUGCAAUCUGAAUCAAUAGUUAUUAGUUAUUUUUUUUUCAUAAGACAACAUGGACUCUUUAAUUUCUGAGAUGGAACAGUUGUUAUUGUCUGGUAGAGAGGACUCUAAUAUCCAAGACAUUAUAGAUUUGCUGUGUUACCAGUGUUCAAUAGGAGAAUCUGCAGGUAAAAAUAUUGAUGAUUUGUUAAUUGAAGCUGAUAAAAUAAUUGGUGAAACACUUCCAUACUUUCAAACAUCUUCAAAUACAAAUAAAGUUAUAACUUCAAAAGACUUUAAAAGUAUACAAAAUAAUACUAAAAUUACACCAACACAACCUAAACUUCAAAGGAGUGAUACAAAAAAAGUUAUUUUUAAUUUGAAUAGUAAUUCUCAAAGUACUUUGAUCCCAGAGAAACAUUCAGAAAUCCAUGGAAAAUUAACUAUAAACAAAUGUAUUAAAGAAGAGGGAAAAAAAAAUAUUUGUUCUUCAUCUUUAAAAAAAUGUACUGCUGAGUUAAAGGUUCCGGAUGCUGAAGUAAAUAUAAAAUCCCAUUUUAAAGUGAGCUCAUCUAUGUUGGAAAAUCACAAUCGGCUACAAGUUAUGUGUAACAGACAUGAUAAAUUUGCUAAUAAUAUGAAAACACCGGACCAAAUUAAUAAAUUAAAAACGGAAGAAGAAUUAAAAUACUAUAAAAUGAAAAAUAAUGAACUUGAAAAAAAUCUUAUGUUUAAAGAACAAGAAAUUCACAAUUUGGAAAAUCAAUAUCAGCAAUUAAGUCAGUAUUGUGAAUCAUUUUUAAAAAAAAAUAUUGAAGAGACAUUGAAGAGUUACGAUUGUCAAUUAAAUGAACUAAUUGAACGCAAUAUGACUAGAGAAUCACAAUUGCAUACCAUAAUUGGUAAUCUCCUUGAUGAAAUUGAACAGUCACAUAAUCAAUACAGAAUAAAACUAUCAGAAAAAAAUAAACAAAUACGCAAUUAUCUUGAUCAAAUAGAAACGAUACUUGAUAAUUUUUACAAAUUUAAAAGUAACAAUAUAAAAAUAUAACAUUUGAUUGGUAUUGACAUGACAAUAAUUUAAAAAAGGAAUUUUGCAUUGUGUGUGAACAGAUGAGUUAUGCACACAUUAAAAGAUUGAGCACAAUCAAGAUGAACUGAUGGAUUUGGGUGAUAAGUUAAUGGUUAUAUAAUAUAUAUUAUGAUCUAUCUUAUACAAUAAUAUGACUGAUCAAAAAGUACUUACAAGUUAUUUUCCGAAAUCGUGCACACGUUUGCAUUUGACUGUGAAAGAGCCAAGAAGAACACAACGCCAACUACGAUUGAUAGAAUCCUAAAAUUAUACCAAUUGACAGUGUUAAUUUAACGAUAUUUAAUCAUAUAAUUUAUACAUAUUAUAAAAUACUCGUAUGCGUGUACGAAAAUAUUAAUAAUUUUAUAAUAUUGUAACUAGAACAUAACGGUACGAAUGUAUAAAAAUGUAAAAAAAAAUACGAAUGUGCAAAGUAUACUCUUUGCUCCAAGUUCGUGAACUUACGUCUUAUUCAUCUUGUGUAUCGACGACGAUGUCCUAAAGUCACAAUACACAUCUGGGGACCUCGACGAGUGCUUUUUAUACCAGAAAGAUAGGUGUAAAUUUUCCGGUUGCUUUCAUAUAUGAUGCGUGUUUUCCAACCCAACGGUCUGUACCCUAUUCGUUAUGUUACCUAUUUAUUUUCAAACCCUUAUCCGGGUUAAACCAAAUCACUUCCACACACAGGACCAACUUAACCCUACACUAUAUCGUGGUGAAUAUUUUUCGAAUCAUUGCGCUCAGAGAUAGCAACAAUGUUAGGUGUAAUGUAUAUUAUUACCCUGCUGCACUGAUCCAUAAUAUUAUUAUAUGUGUAGGAGUACUAAAUACGCUUGAAUGGGCAUUGAAUCCGAUUAAUUUUUCGAACAUAUUAUGCCAUAAAGUUUGAUAUAAAAAAAUAUAUUUUAUGAUCUUCUAGUACCAUGUGUAAUCACAUAAUGCGGAAUAUUGACGAUACACGAUCUAUCACCUAUAUAGAAACCGGUAGAUAAAGGUGAAUUUUGCAACUUAGAUAGACAAUAUAAUAUUAUAUAAAUGUACAACUCGUUAAUUUCAUAAUUUAAAAUUUAUUAUUUUCCACUUAUUUGUAAGUAAUUUUAUAGUGAUUUAUACACCUAUUAUUUUUUUAAUGCCACAUCAUCAUAGGUACUAAGGUUAAUAUUGAAAUAUUAUGUUACAUGACAA
rnacentral:misc_RNA from 1 species